UACGUAGGGUGCGAGCGUUAAUCGGAAUUACUGGGCGUAAAGCGUGCGCAGGCGGUUCGCCAAGUCAGGUGUGAAAUCCCCGGGCUUAACCUGGGAAUUGCGCUUGAAACUAGCGGGCUUGAGUGUGGCAGAGGGGGGUGGAAUUCCACGUGUAGCAGUGAAAUGCGUAGAGAUGUGGAGGAACAUCCGUGGCGAAGGCGGCCAUCUGGAUCAACACUGACGCUGAGGCACGAAAGCGUGGGGAGCAAACAGG
rnacentral:rRNA from 1 species